rnacentral:piRNA from 1 species
UAGUAAAGGAUUCGAUUCCCGGCACCGGC